AGUGAACGCUGGCGGCAGGCCUAACACAUGCAAGUCGAACGGCAGCACAGUAAGAGCUUGCUCUUACGGGUGGCGAGUGGCGGACGGGUGAGGAAUACAUCGGAAUCUACUUUUUCGUGGGGGAUAACGUAGGGAAACUUACGCUAAUACCGCAUACGACCUACGGGUGAAAGCAGGGGAUCUUCGGACCUUGCGCGAUUGAAUGAGCCGAUGUCGGAUUAGCUAGUUGGCGGGGUAACGGCCCACCAAGGCGACGAUCCGUAGCUGGUCUGAGAGGAUGAUCAGCCACACUGGAACUGAGACACGGUCCAGACUCCUACGGGAGGCAGCAGUGGGGAAUAUUGGGCAAUGGGCGCAAGCCUGAUCCAGCCAUACCGCGUGAGUGAAGAAGGCCUUCGGGUUGUAAAGCCCUUUUGUUGGGAAAGAAAAGCAGCAGGUUAAUACCCCGCUGUUCUGACGGUACCCAAAGAAUAAGCACCGGCUAACUUCGUG
rnacentral:rRNA from 1 species